rnacentral:lncRNA from 1 species
AGUUCUCUCGAUGUUGCCCAGGGAGCUGGGGGUGUUUGGAGCAGGGAAGGGACCCAGAAGGAAAGGGGGGGUGCUGUGGAGUGACCAGGAAGAAUGUGGGCUUUUUCUGUUUCCUGGGAGCUCUGGUGAGGUUUGUAGGUGAUGAGCUCCCCCUCUUUUCCGUCCAGGAGCUGCAGGAUCUGCCAAGAGAGGCUGGGGAGGUCCUGAGACCCUUCCCUGUCAGAGAAGAAGAGGCAGAGGGUGGCAAGGGCGUAAGCAUGGCUUUCUCACCCAUUCCCAGGGGACAGGAGGCAUCGGGAGAGUGUCCUGCGUGGGGGAACUGUCAGAGGGGAGGAUGACAUCGUGCCCCCUGCACCUCCAGCCCCCAAUAAUGUGAGGAUGCGCUAAGUUAGGGAAGUGAGGAAAAGGCCCCACUCCUCCUAGCAGAUUUCUGAACUGAGGUGAGGUCUGAACUGGUGGAAAGAUGAAAUUUUGAUUUCAGUCUAGCUGGAAUUUAUUUUAAAAAUCUGCAAAGGAUGCUGUUCUAAAGCUGAAAAGUGACUGGAAAAGCUCUGAGAUGCACCUGGGGUGUUGUCUAGAAGUGGGGAAGGAAGCUCUGGCACAGAAGUUCGGGAAGUGUGGGGAGACAGAAAUUCAUUUCCCCCCAUUCAGAGGGCCAGGCGCAAGUUUCUGCUGAACACUCUCCCGUCUCUUCCAACCUACACCUACAGCCCUGCAUCUUCUCACUGAAAACAUUUCCAUCUUCUGGGUCAACAGCCGCACUUUUUGUGGUGUGUAGAAACGAGAUACAGGGGCCCCCAACACCCAGUGUGUUGGGUGCUGUACAGGAGUGAGCGUUGGCGGCAGCCGGGGCUCGGCUCACCGCCUCAGGGUACUGUGUGUACACAGGAGUCAGGAGUAAGUCACUUUCCCAGCCCGUGAGGCAUCAUUUUAGAGCUGGUUUCUCUACUGUACCAAUGUCCCUGUUCUGCCUGGCCUUUGUCUGCAGCCCUGCUCCCUUCCCUGGCUGUCACCAUUCCAGGAGCUGCCCUCCUGUGCUCUGCACUGCUCCCAUCCACCUGUCCCCGCCCCAGACUGUGGGUGGGAGCCCGACCUGCACUCUGGCUGUGCUGGAACAAAGCGUCAGGGCUUGGUCACCAUCAGCCGCUGACCACGGUCUGCUCGGGCUGCUGGGAGACCAGGCUGUGCUGGGGAGUUCCCGGGGAUCCUGGCGCCUGCCAGGAACCUGAGCUAGGAAAGCGAUGCUUCCUGUUGGAGAGAUUGAGUGUGGAUCUGAAAGUUCCCUCACCUUGGGUUCACUUGUUAGCACGGCUCCUGACCCAGCUGUCUGCUGCCUGUCUGAGGACAAUGGAAACCUGCUGUCUUUCAGAGUGAAAUUCUUAUUGACAUUCAAAGAGUAAACAUCUACCAAGAUACAUUUGCUUAUUUUGUCUUCUUCCUGGUGAGUUGGAAAUACCUGGAUUUUUGCCAUAAUAAAGGCAUUUCUCAAUGACAGACACUGUACCAUCACUACAUAGCAAGUUUUAACCCCCACACUGAGGAGUAAAAUCUCCAGCAUCCGCCUCUCUGGGGUUGGCUCUCAGGCAGUGGUAAUUAUCAGGAUUUUAUCCUAGAAAACAAGGCAAGUCUAACACACCGUUUCUCAAUUAAGUUUCCUGAAAACCAAUUUAUUCUAUUUGAGUAAAUUAUAUAUUUGAUACUGAAAUUACAGAAACAUUUUACUGUUUCACUAGCGUACACUCACGGGUGCUUUGCAG